rnacentral:rRNA from 1 species
AGCCGCGGUAAUACGGAGGAUGCGAGCGUUAUCCGGAUUUAUUGGGUUUAAAGGGUGCGUAGGUGGUCUUUUAAGUCAGCGGUGAAAGUUUGUGGCUCAACCAUAAAAUUGCCAUUGAAACUGGGAGACUUGAGUAUGUUUGAGGUAGGCGGAAUGCGUGGUGUAGCGGUGAAAUGCAUAGAUAUCACGCAGAACUCCGAUUGCGAAGGCAGCUUGCCAAGCCAUAACUGACACUGAAGCACGAAAGCGUGGGUAUCAAACAGGAUUAGAUACCCUGGUAGUCCACGCAGUAAACGAUGAUUACUAGGAGUUUGCGAUAUAAUGUAAGCUCUACAGCGAAAGCGUUAAGUAAUCCACCUGGGGAGUACGCCGGCAACGGUGAAACUCAAAGGAAUUGACGGGGGCCCGCACAAGCGGAGGAACAUGUGGUUUAAUUCGAUGAUACGCGAGGAACCUUACCCGGGCUCAAACGACAGGGGAAUAAUCCCGAAAAGGAUUAGCCAGCAAUGGUCGCUGUCGAGGUGCUGCAUGGUUGUCGUCAGCUCGUGCCGUGAGGUGUCGGCUUAAGUGCCAUAACGAGCGCAACCCUUGCCGUUAGUUACUAACAAGUAGUGUUGAGGACUCUAGCGGGACUGCCAGCGUAAGCUGUGAGGAAGGCGGGGAUGACGUCAAAUCAGCACGGCCCUUACAUCCGGGGCGACACACGUGUUACAAUGGCGUGGACAAAGAGCAGCCACUUGGCGACAAGGAGCUAAUCUCCAAACCACGUCUCAGUUCGGAUCGGAGUCUGCAACUCGACUCCGUGAAGCUGGAUUCGCUAGUAAUCGCGCAUCAGCCAUGGCGCGGUGAAUACGUUCCCGGGCCUUGUACACACCGCCCGUCAAGCCAUGAAAGCCGGGGGCGCCUGAAGUCCGUGACCGCGAGGGUCGGCCUAGGGUGAAACCGGUGAUUGGGGCUAAGUCGUAACAAGGUAGCCGUACCGGAAGGUGCGGCUG